rnacentral:misc_RNA from 1 species
AGCAGCCGCGGUAAUUCCAGCUCCAAUAGCGUAUAUUAAAGUUGUUGCAGUUAAAAAGCUCGUAGUUGAAUUUCGGGAUCAAUAUGUUGGUCGUGCCUCGGUACGUACUAGCAUAUUGGUUUCUCCUUUCUGAAGAACCAUGAUGUCAUUUAUUUGGUGUCGUGGGGAAUCAGGACUGUUACUUUGAAAAAUUAGAGUGUUUAAAGCAGGCUCACGCUUGAAUACAUUAGCAUGGAAUAAUGAAAUAGGACGUUUGAUUCUAUUUUGUUGGUUUCUAGGAUCGACGUAAUGAUUAAUAGGGAUAGUUGGGGGCAUUAGUAUUCAAUUGUCAGAGGUGAAAUUCUUGGAUUUAUUGAAGACUAACUACUGCGAAAGCAUUUGCCAAGGAUGUUUUCAUUAAUCAAGAACGAAAGUUAGGGGAUCGAAGACGAUCAGAUACCGUCGUAGUCUUAACCAUAAACUAUGCCGACUAGGGAUCGGAUGAUGUUAAUUUUUUAAUGUA